rnacentral:rRNA from 1 species
UACGAAGGGGGCUAGCGUUGUUCGGAAUCACUGGGCGUAAAGGGCGCGUAGGCGGCUUUAUAAGUCGGGGGUGAAAGCCUGUGGCUCAACCACAGAAUUGCCUUCGAUACUGUAGAGCUUGAGACCGGAAGAGGUAAGUGGAACUGCGAGUGUAGAGGUGAAAAUUCGUAGAUAUUCGCAAGAACACCAGUGGCGAAGGCGGCUUACUGGUCCGGUU